rnacentral:lncRNA from 1 species
GUGGUGGGUUUGUGGCCAAAGACACCAUUGAAGAACGCCGGCAUCCGGAUGCUGCCUCCAAUGUCAGAGCCCACUCCUAUCACGGAGCAGGCGGCUGCAAGAACGCUGCCCUCCCCACCUGAGCUGCCGCCCGCGAUGUGCUGCAGGUUGUAGGGGUUGCUGGUGCGCCCGUACACGUUAUUGCUGGAUUCAAACCACAUGCACAGCUCACUGCAGUUGGUCACCCCCAGCGGGAUGGCGCCCGCCUGCUUCAUCCGCCCCACCACGAUGGCAUCCGUGUUAGCAAUGACACAGCGGCGUUUCACCAG